GUGCAAUUGGAUGAGUGUUUCCAUGCCGACAGACGAGACACUAUUCCUUCCUUUCGUGGGGCAGCUGCACCAACUGUUCAACACUUUUGACAUCCGAAUGAAAACUGAGAGAGAAAAAAAGAACGAGACAACUUUCUAGAACGGAGCACAGCCCACCCACUUUCCCCAGCGUGAGUUUUUCGGUGCCUCCUCAAGUCCCGACAUUGGGAACAGCGAACCUUACCUUAAAAGGCUUGGCCCGAUCCGACACCCAAUACGGUCAACCAACUCACUGACGUCACCAGGCAAACUCUUUCAUGCCACAUUUCUUUAUCCUUUUUCUUUUCUGUUUCUCUAUUCUUUUACCUGAGAAAAUAUUCCCCCAAUGGAAGCUGCUUUGCGUCUUCAUUAAUGCUUGAAUCUUACUCAACUUCAUGGCCGCACCUUUAACUACCAGCAAUUUCGCACACGGGAGGGAGUAUACAGAUGGAUCAUUGGGAGGUCUUCAUGGUUGGAUGCGUCAUGAAAAGAAGAAAACGGGACACGUGCCUGCCCAGGUGGGCUUAAAAAUUGGCAAAAGAGCAAAAAGAAUCCCCCCUUCCCACUCGACCACGACCAAGACAGAAGAAAGAUGAACUUACAUCCAGGAGCCGGGGUGUCCUU